CAGGCAGCGGGACAUCAAAGGCGCUGCAGGGCUGGUGCAGGCUCUCCAGAUGCUCUCUGUGGCUGGCACCAGCAGAGAAGUCAUUUCACUUCAGCAACAAAAAGGGGAUUUCCCCAGGUAUGGCAGGAGAGAGAGAGAAAAGGAAGAAGAAAAACCUUACCGCACAUGUAGCACUGACGUAUCAGUCGCACCUCGCAGAAGAGGGAAAGCUCAGACACCUGGCACAGCUGUACAAGAGCAGAGUGCCCCUAUUCAGCUGGGAAAGCCUCUGAGCCCAGGUACUGCGUAGCAGCUUCCAACUCCUCUGAACGCAGCAGUAGGUUGCUCCAGACUAUAAACGACCGCUACCAUUCAGCAGGGUUUGGCAGCGCUGCUUUCCUGCAGCAUUACCUGCCUGCUUCCUGGGGCCCCUCUCCCCAAGGCCCCCAAGUGAGUCACAUCCUCUCCUCAGGCUCAGCCCCCUGGCCCUGCUGCAGAGGCAGCAUCUUUCUCCCCCAGCCGGAGGUGAGCGAGCGCCAUCGGGAUGCUGCCGCUGCCGGUCCUGGCCCUGGCUGCAGCCUGGUCACACGCGUUCCCCCUCUCAGGAGGGCAGUGUGGGGAGCAGCAGCAAGCGGCUCUCAUGCAUACGACCAUGAGCAGGCGGCUGGCAGUGCUCGUUGUAUUACUUUCUCUCCUGUCCAAUGGACAAGCACAAGUGCUGCUGCAACAGCGUCAGCCAUCUCUCACCAAAAGGACGUCUUCGACAGCAGUGAUCGAUUGCAAAGUCGAGGGCAUAGAUGACUUCCAGGAUGCUUACAUCCACUGGUACCGACACAUACCCUCCAGGGCUCCCGAACGGCUUCUGUAUGUGACCUCAACAGCACAGAUUUCCUACGACAAGGAUUCCUACAAGGACAAGUACCACUCUUCUAAAAGAGGCAAAAAUACCUGCACCCUGUCAGUCAAAGACAUACGUGAGGAUGAUGAAGGUACCUACUACUGUGCCUACUGGCAGUCUCACAGAGCGAGACGAUCGUAGGCAGCCUGUACAGAAAGGCGGUUGCAGCCUGAGUGGCAGGCGUCCUCUCAGAUGCAGGGAACCAACAUUACCUUCCUGCAGCCGCCUCUCAGCUCCUCAAACGUCCCUCCUGGGGCAUCCCUUCCACUGAGGAAGGAAGUAUGAAGAGUUGACAAAUAGAACAGGCAAGAAACGCAGUGCGCUGCAGCCUCCGCGGGCAAAAUGCACUGGGGUGGGGCAAAGGAGCACCCCUGUGGGUGAUGACAAAGAGAGGCAGCACUGCUUACACAGUCUUUGCUGAAGGUGGAUGCUUUCCCAACAUGGUCUGAGCUAGCAAAAAAAGAAACAACAACAACGUCAAGGGAAGGGAGGGAGCACAGAUGGGUUGUAUUUCCAGUGAAGGUCUAUCCUGGGAUCCCUGCAGCCAGCCUGCAGGAAAACAGCUAUGCAAAAAAGGACCUGGCUGGAUGUCUAGUGAAGGAAUGAGAGUAAACGUCGUGCCCUUGCUGCCAAGAUGGCUG